AUCAUUAAUGAUAAUUUUAAUAUUACACGUAUAGCCUAUAGAAAUAGUUCGAAAAAAAAUACUUAUAACCUUACUAUAAUAAUAAAUUUAAAAUCUAAAUAUAAUAUAAUGUGUGUGCUUGUGUGUGUACAGUGUGUGUGUGUGUGUGUGUGUGUAUAUUUUGGUGUCAUAGUUGUCUGUUCCAUGUCUUUUGAGAGAUUAAAAUAAUACAAUACAAGUAUACUAUACUAUUUUUGCUUAUUGAUAAUAACAUAGAGAAGCGUUACUUUCGUUUUUGUUUUACGUUCGCGAUACGGCGACGCCGAAACGAUAAUAAUUGCAUGAUUAUCGCGCGCGUCCUGACGUCCCGUCCACAAGUGGCUGCGCAGUUGUUGUCAUUAGUUGGCUGCGGCGGCGGCGGCGGCUGAGGCGAAUCGUAUGACUGACGUCCGCCGGGGCUGCU